UGGCUCAGAGUGAACGCUGGCGGUAGGCCUAACACAUGCAAGUCGAACGGCAGCACAGGAGAGCUUGCUCUCUGGGUGGCGAGUGGCGGACGGGUGAGGAAUACAUCGGAAUCUACUCUGUCGUGGGGGAUAACGUAGGGAAACUUACGCUAAUACCGCAUACGACCUACGGGUGAAAGCAGGGGACCUUCGGGCCUUGCGCGAUUGAAUGAGCCGAUGUCGGAUUAGCUAGUUGGCGGGGUAAAGGCCCACCAAGGCGACGAUCCGUAGCUGGUCUGAGAGGAUGAUCAGCCACACUGGAACUGAGACACGGUCCAGACUCCUACGGGAGGCAGCAGUGGGGAAUAUUGGACAAUGGGCGCAAGCCUGAUCCAGCCAUACCGCGUGGGUGAAGAAGGCCUUCGGGUUGUAAAGCCCUUUUGUUGGGAAAGAAAUCCAGCUGGCUAAUACCCGGUUGGGAUGACGGUACCCAAAGA
rnacentral:rRNA from 1 species